UACGGAAGGCAGCAGUGGGGAAUAUUGCACAAUGGGCGCAAGCCUGAUGCAGCCAUGCCGCGUGUAUGAAGAAGGCCUUCGGGUUGUAAAGUACUUUCAGUCGUGAGGAAGGUGUUAAGGUUAAUAACCUUAGCAAUUGACGUUAGCGACAGAAGAAGCACCGGCUAACUCCGUGCCAGCAGCCGCGGUAAUACGGAGGGUGCGAGCGUUAAUCGGAAUUACUGGGCGUAAAGGGCACGCAGGCGGUUAAUUAAGUUGGAUGUGAAAUCCUCGGGCUUAACCUGGGAAUGGCAUUCAAGACUGGUUAGCUAGAGUCUUGUAGAGGGGGUAGAAUUCCAUGUGUAGCGGUGAAAUGCGUAGAGAUGUGGAGGAAUACCGGUGGCGAAGGCGGCCCCUGGGACAAAGACUGACGCUCAUGUGCGAAAGCGUGGGGAGCAAACAGGAUUAGAUACC
rnacentral:rRNA from 1 species